AAAUGUUCCCAUUUUACAAUUUGGAACUUCCAGAAAGGAAAUGGCCAAUGAACGAAAAAUGAUGGCUCUACAGAUACUCAAAGCAUCAGUGUUCGAUGAAGCCGAAAACUGUUCCAUGUGUUCCCUUAAAAAGCCUACUGGAUCUGUGCAUCGUUUCAUAAAUUGGAUCCAAUGUGACACAUGUGAAAGGUGGUACCAUGAAAAGUGCCUGGGUAUGGCCAAAGAAGACCUGGAACAGGCCAGAGCUAACACAUGGAGCUGCAUAUUGUGCUCUUAAAUUGUUUAAUUAAAACAAACUUUAUUC